AUUGAACGCUGGCGGCAGGCCUAACACAUGCAAGUCGAGCGGAUGAAGGGAGCUUGCUCCUGGAUUCAGCGGCGGACGGGUGAGUAAUGCCUAGGAAUCUGCCUGGUAGUGGGGGAUAACGUCCGGAAACGGGCGCUAAUACCGCAUACGUCCUGAGGGAGAAAGUGGGGGAUCUUCGGACCUCACGCUAUCAGAUGAGCCUAGGUCGGAUUAGCUAGUUGGUGGGGUAAAGGCCUACCAAGGCGACGAUCCGUAACUGGUCUGAGAGGAUGAUCAGUCACACUGGAACUGAGACACGGUCCAGACUCCUACGGGAGGCAGCAGUGGGGAAUAUUGGACAAUGGGCGAAAGCCUGAUCCAGCCAUGCCGCGUGUGUGAAGAAGGUCUUCGGAUUGUAAAGCACUUCAAGUUGGGAGGAAGGGCAGUAAGCUAAUACCUUGCUGUUUUGACGUUACCAACAGAAUAAGCACCGGCUAACUUCGUG
rnacentral:rRNA from 1 species